CACGUAGGCGGCUUUUUAAGUCAGGGGUGAAAUCCUGGAGCUCAACUCCAGAACUGCCCUUGAUACUGAGAAGCUUGAGUCCGGGAGAGGUGAGUGGAACUGCGAGUGUAGAGGUGAAAUUCGUAGAUAUUCGCAAGAACACCAGUGGCGAAGGCGGCUCACUGGCCCGGUACUGACGCUGAGGUGCGAAAGCGUGGGGAGCAAACA
rnacentral:rRNA from 1 species